GCCCGUUUGGCUUAGGGGUACAGCGUCUCACUCGUAUGUAUGCGACAUGAGAAGAUCCUCGGUUCGAUUCCGAGAAUGGGCA
rnacentral:tRNA from 1 species